rnacentral:tRNA from 1 species
GGGCCGUUAGCUCAACUGGUAGAGCAACUGACUCUUAAUCAGUAGGUUCGGGGUUCGAUUCCCUGUUGGCGCA